UUGAACCGAUCAAACCAAUCACA
rnacentral:rRNA from 1 species